rnacentral:rRNA from 1 species
UACGGAGGGAGCUAGCGUUAUUCGGAAUUACUGGGCGUAAAGCGAGUGUAGGUGGUUGUCCAAGUUGGAUGUGAAAGCCUUGAGCUCAACUCAAGAAAUGCAUUCAGGACUGGGCGGCUAGAGGACCGGAGAGGAUAGUGGAAUUCCUGGUGUAGCGGUGAAAUGCGCAGAUAUCAGGAAGAACACCUAUGGCGAAGGCAGCUCUCUGGGACGGUACUGACGCUGAGACGCGAAAGCGUGGGGAGCGAACAGG